rnacentral:lncRNA from 1 species
UUGCAGGAAAUUACACCUCAUCCAGCUGAAUGCAAGAUAACUCUGAUAGGAAUUUGCUGACUAGAAGAAUAUCAGCUGACAGCACUAAAUGAAAAUUAGGCAGCAGCUUAAAAGAAAAGAGAACUGUCCCCUCAACUUGCCCUAGUAUUUGGCAGGGAAAUAAGCAAGCUCUAGACCCUGGAGACAAAGAAGGAAGGAUGGAAUUGCUGAGAGAAAGAAGAGUGAAGUGCCUAAAGUUCACUUUUGAGGUUUAUAAAACAUUUUUAAGACUGACAUCUGACCUCUGAAGGCUCUGCAAUCCCUUUUUCAGGUUUAUUUCCCCAGGUGCUGAAGAAGUAAGAGGGAAAAGGUCCAAACAUCAGUUU